UGCGGUCGUCAGCUCGUGUCGUGAGAUGUUGGGUUAAGUCCGCACGAGCGCACCCUUGUCCUCAGUUGCCAGCACGUUAUGGUGGGCACUCUGGGGAGACUGCCGGUGACAACCCGGAGGAAGGUGGGGACGACGUCAAGUCAUCAUGGCCCUUACGGCCAGGGCUACACACGUGCUACAAUGGUGCAUACAGACGGUUGCCAAGCUGUGAAGCGGAGCUAAUUUGAGAAAGUGCAUCGUAGUCCGGAUUGGAGUCUGCAACUCGACUCCAGAAGUCGGAAUCGCUGUACCAUGAAUCAAAAUGUCGCGGUGAAUAACUUCCCGGGA
rnacentral:rRNA from 1 species